GACGAACGCUGGCGGCGUGCUUAACACAUGCAAGUCGUACGGUAAGGCCCUUUCGGGGGUACCCGAGUGGCGAACGGGUGAGUAACACGUGAGUAACCUGCCCACAACUUUGGGAUAACGCUAGGAAACUGGUGCUAAUACUGGAUAUGUGCUCCUGCUGCAUGGUGGGGGUUGGAAAGCUCCGGCGGUUGUGGAUGGACUCGCGGCCUAUCAGCUUGUUGGUGGGGUAGUGGCCUACCAAGGCGGCGACGGGUAGCCGGCCUGAGAGGGUGACCGGCCACAUUGGGACUGAGAUACGGCCCAGACUCCUACGGGAGGCAGCCGUGGGGAAUAUUGCACAAUGGGCGCAAGCCUGAUGCAGCAACGCCGCGUGCGGGAUGACGGCCUUCGGGUUGUAAACCGCUUUCAGCAGGGACGAAGCUUUUUGUGACGGUACCUGCAGAAGAAGCACCGGCUAACUACGUG
rnacentral:rRNA from 1 species